ACAUGCCUACAAGAUAGCGUUAAUGAAUCAGAUAUCAUUAGAAAUAUAUUGUUAAGUGCGCUCAGGCUAGAGUAGUACUAGGAUGGGUGACCGCCCGAGAACUACUAGUGUUUUACAUGCC
rnacentral:rRNA from 1 species